rnacentral:rRNA from 1 species
AGAGUUUGAUCAUGGCUCAGAAUCAACGCUGGCGGCGUGCCUAACACAUGCAAGUCGCACGAGAAAGGGUAGCAAUACCUGAGUAAAGUGGCGCACGGGUGAGUAACACGUGAAUUAUCUACCUCCGAGUGGGGAAUAACUGAGAGAAAUCUUAGCUAAUACCGCAUAACACUUACGAGUCAAAGCAGCAAUGCGCUUGGAGAGGAGUUCGCGGCCGAUUAGUUAGUUGGCGGGGUAAUGGCCCACCAAGACGAUGAUCGGUAUCCGGCCUGAGAGGGCGCACGGACACACUGGAACUGAAACACGGUCCAGACUCCUACGGGAGGCAGCAGUGGGGAAUUUUGCGCAAUGGGGGAAACCCUGACGCAGCAACGCCGCGUGGAGGAUGAAAUAUCUUGGUAUGUAAACUCCUUUCGAUGGGGAAGAUUAUGACGGUACCCAUAGAAGAAGCCCCGGCUAACUUCGUGCCAGCAGCCGCGGUAAUACGAGGGGGGCAAGCGUUGUUCGGAUUUAUUGGGCGUAAAGGGUGCGUAGGCGGUUUGGCAAGUCUGAUGUGAAAUCUAUGGGCUCAACCCAUAGUCUGCAUUAGAAACUGCCGGGCUUGAGUAUGGGAGAGGUGAGUGGAAUUUCCGGUGUAGCGGUGAAAUGCGUAGAUAUCGGAAGGAACACCUGUGGCGAAAGCGGCUCACUGGACCAUAACUGACGCUGAUGUACGAAAGCUAGGGGAGCAAACAGGAUUAGAUACCCUAGUAGUCC